rnacentral:tRNA from 1 species
GAUGAUGUAGCUUAGUGGUAGAGUGCUUGCUUAGUAUGCAUGAGACCCUGGGUUCAAUUCCUCAGUACCA